UAAACUUUAAGAAAUCAAAUCUACUUUGCAUGUUGGAAACUAUUCUAGUUGCUUUACAUGACGUGCCUUCAGUAUAAUUCAUUUGAACAUCUGUUUCAAAUUAUGUUAUAACACUGACAACACUGAUUAUGUAGCAAUGUCUACAUCAUUACGUAUUUGAUGUCAUCUUUAUCUAACUCAGUGUGAUGUGUUGCUUUUCAGAGGAGCCUUGGAACGUAUACGUGCGACUGGUAGUGGGGAAACUUUGGAGACAAUCCACACUGAGGCUUUCCAGAGGCUAAUGGCUGCAUGUGAUACACUCAGAGAGUGCGCCAGUGGCUUUACUAAACUCGGCUAUAGACAACAGGCAGCAGAGGCACAUGGAGAGUGUGCGCAUGGUUUGAGAAUCCUAGCGAACCAUACUACUGAAAGAGAGUCGAAACAGAGCUUCCUGCUGAAUGGGCUCUCCCAGUUGCAGCUUGCUGUCACAGUGCAGGAACAUGCAGUACAGAAUGCUGAGAGUCUGCUCCACCCACAGGAGGAGGUAAAUCUGUCAUCUGUCAUUGUCAUGAUGUUUUCUGCAAAAAAACGUUGUGAGCUUUUUAAUCUCUCACAGGUUCUUAGAAACUUUGUCUUUUCCUCUCUGUACUUUCAGCAAGUCACAGAAAGUCUGCUCAUGUUUGAAGCAGCAGAAAAUAAGGCUGAAAAAGGACUUUGAGCAGUUGUGAUGGUACAUUUGUUUGGCUGUAACAGUCAGAGUUUAACAGCCAAGCACUCUGGCUGAGAUUGUUGUGCAGAUGGUGAAGUUUUUUCAAUUUUUGUUUUUAUUUAGAGAAGUUUUGAGCUUAUUUGGAACGAGGAGGGGAAUUUACUCUGGAACAUCUAAGUAACAGGCUUUGUUUUUGCUCUUUGAUUUACCGAAUCACAAUAAAGCUUGUAUUACUGUGUCACUGUCACAUUCUGGGCUUCCUUGUUGUAUGAUAGCUAAUUAUUAGUGUAUGCAUGUUUUCUUUAUAUACCUCCAUAUUCAUUCAUGAAAAUCUACUUAAGUAGUUUAGCAUGAUUCACAGUUAAACAUAAUCAUUUUUUAACCCACUACCGGGCCUCAGUGUAACCCUCACACUCUCAUACAGAUGAGGUUGUAUGAGGGCUUCAGGGGCAGAGAUGAACUGGCAUAAUGAUGGAUGCAGCUUUGAUAGAAUCACAAAAGAAAGAUCGAUCCAUCAGUUCCCACAGCUGUCGCAAAUCCUUGUUGAAUUCGGUUUUUGAUUAAAUCUGCUAUGGAUGUUUGACUUAGCUGUUGGAGGCUGAAAGCUAUGCUGUAGCACUGUGCUGUCGGCAGGUGGUGCUGCUGCCCAAUACUGGAUGAGUUUUGCCACCCUACGUUGAAAAAAGAAGAAAAUAGUCGUAACCUUUGAAGUCAUGCUCAUUUAUUCAUCUUUAUAAUUUGGGUACACCUGUGUUUUAAUUCUGUGCUAUUUAAAUGCAAGUUUUCAACUUUAAACUGCUCCCCGAGUUUCUUGAUAUGCACAUCUCAGAAUAUCUGAUCCAACUUUGUGUCUAAGUUCUUCUCUGAACUCAUCAGCACAGCCCACUCGUAUACCCAAACAGACCAGAGAUAUUUGUCAGCUGAUACCUGGAAAUGAAACACUACUUGAAUUAAGGCUAAUUUACAUCAUGGAGCUCUUCUCUUAAAAGCUGUCAUCUAUUUAACACUGUCUGUCACACUGGAUUUAAGAAGUUAGUGUUUAAAGUUAUAGUUUUUAGAGCCUGUGUAGUGUCAUCUUUUGUGAACACAGCAUGUGAUGUCACUAGGUUGUUUGGAGUUUUAUCUUAAAAACCAUAGACUGCCCACUUUUAUUCUCUGUCUCUUAUUACACACUUAUUACAACACUUUCUUGAAAUAUAAAAUUUCUUGCGUUCUGUCUCAUACACAACAACAUAUACAGAAUAUGUUUUUCUGUGUUACAGUUCUGUUCUAAUCUGCUUCUCGUGUGUUUUUACACUUGUGCUGUUGUCAUCCCUGCCAGAGACAUGGACUGUCACUGCCAGCCGCGCGGAGGCUGCUUGGCCUGCGGCUGGCCCUGGUUGAAUUCUGCCUGUCCAUGCUAGAGGAGCGUUGUGCCGAGGAGACGCUGCAGGCUUUGGCCCGGGAGAAGAUGACCUUAGCUGAAAUAGCGCUGGAGGAAUAUUCACGCUGCACACCUGAGCCUAACUCCAAAGAAGAGGUUAGACUGUGAGCAAACACUUUGACAUCAAAUGUGAGAUCUUUUUGUUGGAUUCAGAUGUAUUUGACAUGAGUUGAUGUGAUACAUUUUUAGAUUCUGCCAUACACCAA
ensembl:lncRNA